rnacentral:rRNA from 1 species
AUGAAAGUGGCGCACGGGUGCGUAACGCGUAUGCAACCUACCUUAAUCAGGGGGAUAGCCCGAAGAAAUUCGGAUUAACACCGCAUAAACAACACAGGAUAGCAUUAUCCAAUGUUCAAAUAUUUAUAGGAUUAAGAUGGGCAUGCGUGUCAUUAGCUAGUUGGCGGGGUAAUGGCCCACCAAGGCGACGAUGACUAGGGGAUCUGAGAGGAUGACCCCCCACACUGGUACUGAGACACGGACCAGACUCCUACGGGAGGCAGCAGUAAGGAAUAUUGGUCAAUGGAGGCAACUCUGAACCAGCCAUGCCGCGUGCAGGAAGACUGCNCUAUGGGUUGUAAACUGCUUUUAUCUGGGAAUAAACCUAUUUACGUGUAAGUAGCUGAAUGUACC